rnacentral:rRNA from 1 species
CAACGUGGGUAACCUGCCUUAUAGUGGGGGAUAGCCUUUCGAAAGGAAGAUUAAUACCGCAUAAGAUUGUAGUAUCGCAUGAUAUAGCAAUUAAAGGAGCAAUUCGCUAUAAGAUGGACCCGCGUCGCAUUAGCUAGUUGGUGAGGUAAUGGCUCACCAAGGCGACGAUGCGUAGCCGACCUGAGAGGGUGAUCGGCCACAUUGGGACUGAGACACGGCCCAGACUCCUACGGGAGGCAGCAUG